UUUUUUAAUUAACUAGGAUAAGAUACCCUAUUAUUAAAAAUUUAAAUUGGUUUCUUAAUUAGUAAAAGCUAUGUUCUUGAAAAUUAAAAAAUUCGGCGGUACUUUAAUCCUUUCAGAGGAACCUGUCCUGUAAAUGAUGGUCCACGAUUAAAAUUACUUAUUUUAAUUAGUUUGUAUAUCGUCGUUUAUUGAUUAUUUUAGGAGAAUUUUAAUAUUCAACAAAUAUAAUUUUAUAUUAAAGAUCAGAUCAAGCUGCAAAUAAUAAAUAAGA
rnacentral:rRNA from 1 species